rnacentral:rRNA from 1 species
UGGGGAAUUUUGCACAAUGGGGAACCCUGAUGCAGCGACGCCGCGUGAUUUAGAAGGCCUUCGGGUUGUAAAAAUCUUUUCUAUGGGAAGAAAAUGACAGUACCAUAGGAAUAAGGACCGGCUAAUUACGUGCCAGCAGCCGCGGUAAUACGUAAGGUCCGAGCGUUGUCCGGAAUCAUUGGGCGUAAAGGGUACGUAGGCGGGUAAGCAAGUUAGAAGUGAAAUCCUAUAGCUCAACUAUAGUAAGCUUUUAAAACUGCUCAUCUUGAGGUAUGGAAGGGAAAGUGGAAUUCCUAGUGUAGCGGUGAAAUGCGCAGAUAUUAGGAGGAAUACCGGUGGCGAAGGCGACUUUCUGGCCAUAACCUGACGCUGAGGUACGAAAGCGUGGGUAGCAAACAGG